UACGUAGGGGGCGAGCGUUGUCCGGAAUUAUUGGGCGUAAAGAGCGUGUAGGCGGUUCGGUAAGUCUGCCGUGAAAACCUGGGGCUCAACCCCGGGCGUGCGGUGGAUACUGCCGGGCUAGAGGGUGGUAGAGGCGAGUGGAAUUCCCGGUGUAGCGGUGAAAUGCGUAGAUAUCAGGAGGAACACCUGGGGCGAAGGCGGCCAGCUGGGCCGUCCCUGACGCUGAGGCGCGAAGGCGUGGGGAGCGAACGGG
rnacentral:rRNA from 1 species